GAGAAAAUAGAAAACCCAGAUAGAUGUAGAGAGAGAGAGAGAGAGAGAGAGUCUGAACUCUGAAGAGCCGGAGCAACGGAAGAAAAUUAGAGCAGACAGAAAAAUUCCCGUACGGGACGGGAAGGCAAAGCAUAGAGCUACUUCACACACAAAGCAGCCUUUUUUCUCUGUUGAACUUUCAUCCUUUGUCUCUCUCUUUUAUCUCGACAAAACCCAGUCAGUGCCAGAUUUCCGUCAGAAUUUACAAAUUCCAGGAACAAAUCUCUAUACUUAGAUGAGAUUGAAAUGGGUCUAUUUUUUAGGUUUUGGAGAAGUGAGUACUUCUAGGUUUGGAGGUUAAGGUUGCGAGACUUUGAAAUUUUGGUUCUUUUGGUUCAGAGGACUUGUUGUAAUGGAAUCAGGGUCAGGUUUCAACUAUGUUUCUCCUUCAACCUCUUUUGAUAAGUCCAGAGUUUUGGACGUGAAGCCUCUGCGUAGUUUAAAGCCAGUUUUCCCAAGCGGAUCUGAAGCUCCCCCGUUCGUGUGCGCCCCACCCAAUGGCCCUUUCCCUCAUGGAUUUAUGCCGUUUUACCCCUUUAGUGUGCCACAAGGAUCUCAAACCUCACCUAAUCUUAACCACCAGAACCCACCAUCAAUGCAGGCGCCAAUGGGUCCUGUACCGGCUCCCCUCCGUGCAUUUCGAAGUCCGCAAUCACAAGAAUAUCCCAGAGCAUUUAAUGGAGAUGCUGAUUCAUCAAUGGGGACAUUUAGGGAAGUGGAUGGGAGUGAAGAUGGUUAUUUUGUUGGUAAAAAACGAGCAGCUUCUCGCAUGCAAAAGAAGACAAGGAAAAAUCAGGACGCUAAACCUUCCUUUUCCUUUGCUGCCAGAAAAGGGUCUGGUACAGCUUUUGUUGUAGAUAUUAGUCAAGCUGAAAGGGAUGAUGGUAACAGGGAAGUGGUUAAUCUGGUGCUUAUGAGAUUUGAUGCACUUCGGAGAAGGCUCAGCCAACUUGAAGAUGCCAAGGAACUGGGCAAUGGGGUUAUCAGACGUGCGGAUUUAAAAGCUGCAAAUAUCUUGAUGAGCAAAGGGAUCCGGACGAACAUGAGGAGGAGGAUUGGAUCUCCACCUGGAGUUGAGAUUGGGGAUAUCUUCUUUUUCCGUAUGGAAAUGUGUAUGGUGGGAUUACAUUCUCAGUCUAUGGGUGGUAUUGACUAUCUUAUUUUCAAGGACACAUUCGACCAAGAUCCAGUGGUUGUGUGCAUUGUUUCAUCUGCAGGAUAUGAUGAUGAUGUGGAGGAUACGGAUGUUCUGAUUUAUAGUGGUCAGGGUGGCAAUUUUGGUAAGAGGGACAAACAGGCAACUGAUCAGAAGCUUCAGAGGGGAAAUCUUGCUUUGGAGAGAAGCUUUCAGCGGGGCAAUGAUAUCAGAGUCGUCCGGGGUAUCAAAGAUGCUUUUAGUCCAACAUCAAAGAUUUAUGUCUAUGAUGGGCUUUAUAAAAUUCAAGAGUCCUGGACUGAGAAUAAAACUGGCUGCAAUAUAUUCAAGUACAAAUUUGUGAGGAUGCCAGGGCAGCCUGAUGCUUUUGCUAUUUGGAAGUCAAUUCAGAAGUGGAAGGAUGGCGUGUCUUCAAGGGUUGGACUUAUCCUUCCAGACCUCACCUCAGGGGCUGAAAGUAUACCUGUUUCACUUGUAAACGAUGUUGAUGAAGAAAAGGGCCCUGCUCAUUUCACUUAUUUUCCCACUGUCAAGUACUCGAAAUCAUUCAAUUUAACACAGCCUUCUUUUGGCUGCAACUGCCAUAACACUUGCCAACCAGGCGAUCCCAACUGCUCUUGCAUUAGGAAAAAUGAAGGCGAUUUUCCUUAUACUAACAACGGGGUUCUUGUGGGCCGAAAACCUUUGAUACAUGAAUGUGGUCCCACAUGUCCUUGCUUUCCUAACUGCAAAAACCGAGUUUCCCAGAAUGGUUUGAAAGUUCACUUGGAAGUAUUCAAAACAACAGCUAGGGGCUGGGGUCUGCGGUCAUGGGACCCUAUUCGUGCAGGUACUUUUAUAUGCGAGUAUGCAGGUGAAGUUAUUGACAAAGUUAAGGUAAAGCAGGGUGGGGAGGAAGGUGAAAAUGAUGAGUAUGUUUUUGAUACAACUCGUUUUUAUAAUUCAUUCAAGUGGAAUUAUGAACCUGGCUUAUUGCAGGAGGAAUGUUCUAAUGACUCUAUUGAGGAAUACAAAAUUCCAUCUCCCCUAAUCAUAAGUGCCAAGAAUAUGGGAAAUGUAGCACGAUUUAUGAAUCAUAGUUGCUCACCAAAUGUUUUCUGGCAACCAGUUUUAUAUGAACACAAUAAUCAAUCCUUUCUUCAUAUUGCCUUUUUUGCAAUCAAACAUAUCCCGCCUAUGACAGAGUUGACUUAUGAUUAUGGGAUUGCCCGCUCUGAUGAGGUUGAGGGAAACAACGAACUCACUGGGAAAAAGAAAUGCUUAUGUGGAUCAUCAAGCUGCCGUGGUUUUUUUGGUUAAUGUUUUAAGUUUUGCAUACCAGAAGAAGUGCAUGGUGCUGGCAAACACGGCCCUGGCUAAAAGCUUGUAUUUGUUCAUUAAUUUUGAAGUAUUGGGAACUCUGGGAUAAACACCAGGCCUGUUGGAAGCCAGUUCUGGUCAAAGUUAAUAUUCCGCGGCCAUACAUUUUCCACCAUCGGGGACAGCCUAGCUUGUUAGAUAUUUUGCUGUAAAGAUUUUACCCUGCCCCUUCACUAGGAGUGGCGGUGCUUUUGUUUCCAAAUGUGGUAUGACUGGAUAGUAAAGUUAUAUGGUUCUUGUAGUAGAAUGGUCAUGGUUGUCAUCCUGAAAACUUUUGCAGCCGCAGCAGCAGCUUUUGUAAUCAUGUUUUGGGACUCGUGACUUUAAGAAUUUAGAAAUAGUUGUUUGUCUAUCA